CACCGUUUCAUCGGCUUAGUGUGCUGAUGUCAUUGGGCCGGCCAGACCUGCAUCCAUUACUCUGCUGAGGGAGGCAGACGUCAGGCUAGCGUGAUCACACACACCGGUUACAACCAGUAUCAACAGGUCUAAGAGUGGGCUGUUGUUGUCGGUCUGAAGUGCACAUGCGUGCAGAGAGGCCACUAACGUGGGUGCCGGGCUGACUCUCCUCGCCGACCUAAACGACCAACAAAGAUGCAGUAAAAGGCGUUUAAGAAAAAAAAACCUUCUUCUUUGCCCUAUCGCUCAAAUAAACAGUUUUUAUUGGUCCAGAUCUAAGAGAUGUGAGUAUCUUCAGGCAGUCUGAGAGUCUGGCUCUGGAGGAAGUCCCCAGCAGUAGAAGGAGACGGACAGAUGAGAGGGCCAGACAGACAAUUACUGGCCAGGUAUGUCCUUUAUAUCCACCUAGGGCUGGUCAGAGGAAAUGGAGGAAUUUAUGAUGUCAUAAAAAAGAGCCAGAAGAGAGGUGCCUGAGAACAGGUUGUCUGUGGAGCAGGAGCCAUAAAAGACUCCCGCGGCUUCCGCUCCCUCCCCCUGACCACCACCCGAGAAGAUGAUAACACUAGACUAGCAUGUGUACAAUUCAACUCAUCCGUAAACACGCAAUAAUGUGGAAAAAUAUUAACAACUAUCAUACAAAUAUGUAAUUGAAUAAUAAUAAUACAAUGGAAAGUAACAAAAUACUUUUACUCAAGUAGCACACAUGAAUUAGAUUUUUUAAGUACUAGCACUUUCAUUUCAAUAUUAUCAUCUUGUGGUACUUUAUACUUGUCCUUGACAAAUUUUCAGCACAAAAGAUUAGAGUCUUUAAGAUUUUUUCGGGGGG